rnacentral:rRNA from 1 species
GAUGAACGCUGGCGGCGUGCCUAAUACAUGCAAGUCGAGCGAACAGAUGAGGAGCUUGCUCCUCUGACGUUAGCGGCGGACGGGUGAGUAACACGUGGAUAACCUACCUAUAAGACUGGGAUAACUUCGGGAAACCGGAGCUAAUACCGGAUAAUAUAUUGAACCGCAUGGUUCAAUAGUGAAAGACGGUUUUGCUGUCACUUAUAGAUGGAUCCGCGCCGCAUUAGCUAGUUGGUAAGGUAACGGCUUACCAAGGCAACGAUGCGUAGCCGACCUGAGAGGCUGAUCGGCCACACUGGAACGGAGACACGGUCCAGACUCCUACGGGAGGCAGCAGUAGGGAAUCUUCCGCAAUGGGCGAAAGCCUGACGGAGCAACGCCGCGUGAGUGAUGAAGGUCUUCGGAUCGUAAAACUCUGUUAUUAGGGAAGAACAAAUGUGUAAGUAACUAUGCACGUCUUGACGGUACCUAAUCAGAAAGCCACGGCUAACUACGUG